CUCUCCUUCAGCGUUCAGAUCCUGAGAGUUUUAUUGAGCGCCAUUAAUUUCUUCUCUCUUUUGGGUUUUAAGCGCCAUGAAUUUCGAAAACCUCAAAUCACAAAACCGAUGGUGAUGAUAAAAAAUUCGACUGCCGAAGAGAAACUGGAAUCAGAGUCGUUUGUCACUCGUAUUAAUCCGAGGCAAAUCGAACCCCUUGAAGCAUAAGAUUUCCUUCUUUACCACUUCCAUUUGAUUCCAGCUCCUUCGCUAUUCGCUUCAUAUACUCCUGAGCUAGCCUCAGCGAGCUGUAUUUUAGCUGCAACAAGUCACCUACCUGUCCAAUCAGUCCUGUGUCGAGCAUCCACUCCCAAGGCGACAAAACUCCAUUCUGAUUGAUCUUGUUCCCCAUAUGAGACUCUCUCUUCGUCAGGGCACGAUAAAACUCUACGACUUCUGGAGCACGCCGCACAGAUCUUUUUCCAAGUGUUCUCUUUGAUGGAAGUGGUGGAGGUGGUGGCGGCUUUGUUGCUGUAGACUGACCUUGGAUCGUUGGCUUGGGAUUUGGAUUUCUGACCUCUUGACCCUUUGUGUUGGAUUUGACACUCUCUGGCGCUUUCAGCUUAUCGUUCCUCACUAGAUAGGCUUGAAGCUCCUUCACCAGACGCAGGAGAUCUGAAUCAUCUUCUCCAUUAGAUUAAGUUUGAAGAUCCUCUGAGUCCGCAAAUAAGUCACAGUCCCAGCCAUGGAUCGAUCCCU
rnacentral:lncRNA from 1 species